rnacentral:pre_miRNA from 1 species
AAUAAGUGCAGUUUUGCACUAUUUACGUUCAAUGUUUGACUGUUCGUCUUAUUUGAAAAUUUUUAUGAUUAGUAUUUUUAUUGCUAUUAGAUGAUAAAACAUGAAUAGUACUCUAUGUGUGACUAAAUAUCUUUAAAUUUAGUCAAACGUUGUGCACGGAUAUCCACGGCUGCACUUAUU